rnacentral:rRNA from 1 species
UGGGGAAUUUUGGACAAUGGGCGAAAGCCUGAUCCAGCAAUGCCGCGUGUGUGAAGAAGGCCUUCGGGUUGUAAAGCACUUUUGUCCGGAAAGAAAUCCUUGGCUCUAAUACAGUCGGGGGAUGACGGUACCGGAAGAAUAAGCACCGGCUAACUACGUGCCAGCAGCCGCGGUAAUACGUAGGGUGCAAGCGUUAAUCGGAAUUACUGGGCGUAAAGCGUGCGCAGGCGGUUUGCUAAGACCGAUGUGAAAUCCCCGGGCUCAACCUGGGAACUGCAUUGGGUGACUGGCAGGCUAGAGUAUGGCAGAGGGGGGUAGAAUUCCACGUGUAGCAGUGAAAUGCGUAGAGAUGUGGAGGAAUACCGAUGGCGAAGGCAGCCCCCUGGGCCAAUACUGACGCUCAUGCACGAAAGCGUGGGGAGCAAACAGGAUUAGAUACCCUGGUAGUCCACGCCCUAAACGAUGUCAACUAGUUGUUGGGAUUCAUUUCCUUAGUAACGUAGCUAACGCGUGAAGUUGACCGCCUGGGGAGUACGGUCGCAAGAUUAAAACU